rnacentral:rRNA from 1 species
UACAUGUGGGGCAAGCGUUGUUCGGAAUUACUGGGCAUAAAGGGUGCGUAGGUGGUUUGGUAAGUCAGUGGUGAAAUCGUCCGGCCCAACCGGACACGUGCCAAUGAUACUGCCGAACUCGAGUGCGUGAGGGGUGGGGGAACGAGCAGUGUAGCGGUGAAAUGCGUAGAUAUUGCUCGGAAGGCCAAAGCCGAAGGGACCCCACUGGUACGUAACUGACACUGAGGCACGAAAGCGUGGGGAGCAAACAGG